rnacentral:rRNA from 1 species
UAUACAUGCAAGUCGAGCGGACAGAAGGGAGCUUGCUCCCGGAUGUUAGCGGCGGACGGGUGAGUAACACGUGGGUAACCUGCCUGUAAGACUGGGAUAACUCCGGGAAACCGGAGCUAAUACCGGAUAGUUCCUUGAACCGCAUGGUUCAAGGAUGAAAGACGGUUUCGGCUGUCACUUACAGAUGGACCCGCGGCGCAUUAGCUAGUUGGUGGGGUAAUGGCUCACCAAGGCGACGAUGCGUAGCCGACCUGAGAGGGUGAUCGGCCACACUGGGACUGAGACACGGCCCAGACUCCUACGGGAGGCAGCAGUAGGGAAUCUUCCGCAAUGGACGAAAGUCUGACGGAGCAACGCCGCGUGAGUGAUGAAGGUUUUCGGAUCGUAAAGCUCUGUUGUUAGGGAAGAACAAGUGCGAGAGUAACUGCUCGCACCUUGACGGUACCUAACCAGAAAGCCACGGCUAACUACGUGCCAGCAGCCGCGGUAAUACGUAGGUGGCAAGCGUUGUCCGGAAUUAUUGGGCGUAAAGGGCUCGCAGGCGGUUUCUUAAGUCUGAUGUGAAAGCCCCCGGCUCAACCGGGGAGGGUCAUUGGAAA